rnacentral:rRNA from 1 species
GACGAACGCUGGCGGCGUGCUUAACACAUGCAAGUCGAACGGUAAGGCCCUUCGGGGUACACGAGUGGCGAACGGGUGAGUAACACGUGGGUGAUCUGCCCUGCACUUCGGGAUAAGCCUGGGAAACUGGGUCUAAUACCGGAUAGGACCACUGCCUGCAUGGGUGGUGGUGGAAAGCUUUUGCGGUGUGGGAUGGGCCCGCGGCCUAUCAGCUUGUUGGUGGGGUGAUGGCCUACCAAGGCGACGACGGGUAGCCGGCCUGAGAGGGUGACCGGCCACACUGGGACUGAGAUACGGCCCAGACUCCUACGGGAGGCAGCAGUGGUGAAUAUUGCACAAUGGGCGCAAGCCUGAUGCAGCGACGCCGCGUGAGGGAUGACGGCCUUCGGGUUGUAAACCUCUUUCAGCACCGACGAAGCGCAAGUGACGGUAGGUGCAGAAGAAGGACCGGCCAGCUACGUGCCAGCAGCCGCGGUAA